CAAACCACGCUGACAGGCACUGAAUCUUCUGCUUGUGGCAAUAGGUCAUUAGCCACAAAUUGAAGGUCAUAAUGUUGUUUCUAAAUUCAGGUGCCAUUAAAGGAAAAGCAAUCAUUUCUUCGUUUUGCUAGAGUGAACACAGACACAAUGUCAGCAUUUCAUAAGAACAUUUCAUAAGCAGAAGACACCUGCUUUAAACUCUAUAGUUCAACUAUACAUGGUAGCCACAGUAAUGUGAGAACCUGACAACAACUCAGCAGAAACCAGUGACCACUAAUGCAGACACAAUGAGAACAUGUUAAUCCCAAGCAGACAGUGAACAGAGAUGAAGACCAAAUCCCAG